CUUUUAACAAUAGCCAUUCCAAUUUCUUUCUUAUUAUACAUAUUUAGUUAUUUCUAUUUUUUCAUCUUUUUUUGAGAAAAGUCUUACUUAUUUAUUUUUUUUAUCAAGUUUUUAUCCUUGACAAUUGAUAGCUUAUAAUAUAAGCAAAUCAUGUAGCACAUAUAUAGAAAACUUAUUUUGAAAAUGAAACAUGUAUCUUAUAAGUUGCAUACAUUGUCAUCUUAUUUGAGGUCUUGCUUGAGAAUGCACCAAACACUUGAUUGUAGAAGAUAAAAAGAAUUUGCAACAAUAAGUCCUAACUACUCUGAUAAAAUCAUAUAUAAAUUACUAUAGAAGCUUAACAAACAUAAUCAAGCAUCAAUUAAGUCUAAUUAUUAUUAUUUAUUUUAUUUUAUUUUAUUUUAUUUUUAAAAUGAAUUAUAAAAAAAUACAAAAAAAUCCUAAAGAAACCUAAAAAAUCCUAAAGAAAUUCAAAAGAAUCUUCAAAGAAUCCUAAAGAAAUCCUA
rnacentral:lncRNA from 1 species